UUAUUUGAGAGUUUGAUCCUGGCUCAGGAUGAACGCUGGCGGCGUGCCUAACACAUGCAAGUUGAGCGAUUUACUUCGGUAAAGAGCGGCGGACGGGUGAGUAACGCGUGGGUAACCUACCCUGUACACACGGAUAACAUACCGAAAGGUAUGCUAAUACGGGAUAACAUAUUUGAGAGGCAUCUCUUGAAUAUCAAAGGUGAGCCAGUACAGGAUGGACCCGCGUCUGAUUAGCUAGUUGGUAAGGUAACGGCUUACCAAGGCAACGAUCAGUAGCCGACCUGAGAGGGUGAUCGGCCACAUUGGAACUGAGACACGGUCCAAACUCCUACGGGAGGCAGCAGUGGGGAAUAUUGCACAAUGGGCGAAAGCCUGAUGCAGCAACGCCGCGU
rnacentral:rRNA from 1 species